UACGUAGGGACCGAGCGUUGUCCGGAUUCAUUGGGCGUAAAGAGCUCGUAGGCGGCUGCUCAAGUCGAAUGUGAAACCUCGAGGCUUAACCUCGAGCCUGCAUUCGAUACUGGGCGGCUAGAGUCUGGUAGGGGGAUCUGGAAUUCCUGGUGUAGCGGUGGAAUGCGCAGAUAUCAGGAAGAACACCAAUGGCGAAGGCAGCUCUCUGGGACGGUACUGACGCUGAGACGCGAAAGCGUGGGGAGCGAACAGG
rnacentral:rRNA from 1 species